GACGAACGCUGGCGGCGUGCCUAAUACAUGCAAGUCGAGCGAAUCACUGGGAGCUUGCCCCCGGUGGUUAGCGGCGGACGGGUGAGUAACACGUGGGCAACCUGCCUGUAAGACUGGGAUAACACCGGGAAACCGGUGCUAAUACCGGAUAAUCCUUUCCUGCACAUGCAGGAAAGCUGAAAGUCGGUUUCGGCUGACACUUACAGAUGGGCCCGCGGCGCAUUAGCUAGUUGGUGAGGUAACGGCUCACCAAGGCGACGAUGCGUAGCCGACCUGAGAGGGGGAUCGGCCACACUGGGACGGGGACACGGCCCAGACUCCUACGGGAGGCAGCAGUAGGGAAUCUUCCACAAUGGACGAAAGUCUGAUGGAGCAACGCCGCGUGAGCGAUGAAGGCCUUCGGGUCGUAAAGCUCUGUUGUUAGGGAAGAACAAGUACCGGAGUAACUGCCGGUACCUUGACGGUACCUAACCAGAAAGCCACGGCUAACUACGUGCCAGCCGCCGCAGUAA
rnacentral:rRNA from 1 species